AUCAAACGGGCCUUUGUUCAACAACUUACAGGCUCGAAAACGAUACUUUUUUAACUGUUUUUUUUUACAAAUUCUAUCGUUAUAAAAUGAACUUCAUUACAUUACCCUCAUUACUGUCGUCCGCCAUCGUGUACCUACAUACCACAGAACAUAGAGAGAGUAUGAUACUUUCAACUACUCAACUCAAACACGAUAGAUACGUGUAAAAGUUUACUCACACCAAAGCAUGCAUAAUAUUAUCAGACGUGAAAAUAUACGAUUUCUUUUUCAAAUAAAAUUAUGUAAACUAGAGUGUUGACAAAGUUUUUCGCAAGGCAAGAGGACCAUGAAUGUCUUUAGACUAAUUCAACUUGUGUGGAGACUUGUUUGAGUAAGAUAUUCAAUCGUAAAUUUAACAAUAUUAUCGCCAUAGAAUGAAAUAUCAAUGUCAGUUUCAAAUAAAUGCUAAGGACCAGUGAAGAUAAUGAUGCAUCAUUCAUAUUCUAAUCAUGAAAAUAUAAAUGUACAAUGGAUCGAGACUGAACUCCACUGGAAAUCAUUUACGGCCAAAACUACAAACAAUAUUUUUGAUGAAUCAGAAGAAACAAUAAAUAUAAAAGAGUGAUCCAUAACAUUUUUGAUAAUAUAUUAUACAUCAAUGUGGAUAAAACCUAUCACCAAUGAUUAUCGUUAUGUAUUAUACCUUCCGCUCUGUCAACACUUAUUCAGUUUCAAAUAAGUUAAGUAAGUUAUGGGUGAUGAAUAUUUUAAUUACUUAUUUUUAUGCUAUUCACGGCCCAAUUUGUAUAUGUUCUUUUGGAGAUGCUAAGGACCAGUGAAGAUAAUGACGCAUCAUUCAUAUUCUAAUCACCAAAAUAUAAAUGUACAAUGGAUUGAGACUGAACUCCACUGGAAAUCAUUUACAGCCAAAACUACAAACAAUAUUUUUGACGAAACAGAAGAAACAAUAAAUAUAAAAUAGUGAACCAUAAAAUUUUUGAUAAUAUAUUAUACAUCAAUGUGGAUAAAACCAAUAUCAAUACAAUAUACAAUAUCAUCGCCUUAGAAUGAAAUAUCAAUGUCAAUAAAUUUUUUAAAUUAUUUUUUGAAAUAAAUUUACCAAAUGACACUAUUUGGUCAAUAUUAGAUGUUAAGUUCAAUUAAA